CUGUGCGAUCCGUUUAGUGAGGCCACCCGUAAUGAAUAUGUACAUUUAGAAGACCUCAGCGCGGAGGGUCACAGGCAAUCAACCUUGAAUUCAAUUAUGCAAGUCAAGGUUAAUGACUCACCGCAGUGGUCAGAGGCAUUCAGAAUCCUGCAGAUUAAAUCAGCCUGUCAGAGCUGACAAUGUAGAAGGGACGGAAUUGCCUGUGUGAGAAACAGGGAUUCAUACGAAGAUAAAAUGGUGUCAGUCCUACGAAGAUUACAUGGCGUUCUCUGUGGCAAAUCAGAUUGUAAAUCUCCUCUGGACCUGCAAUGUGACUAGUCUACAUUAAGACGUUUCUAGAUUGUAAUAUGGAGCCACUAAGACCUGGUGAACCCCUCCCUCAGUAGUUGUUCACGUAUUGGACAUCUUCUGAGUGCAAACCAGUAUGUACACAUUUAAUGCACAAGAGCACAAGUGGAGGGAUGUGAUGGGAGCAGAAGAUCCAGUGAGAAGAUCUGGUCAUCCACUGUCCAACAUGGGGAGAAAGUCACUGAGCUGCUAAUGCUGGGGAAUGGGAGGGAGAGGGUCAGAAAGAAGGACAAGAGAGAGUUGUACUGGGACAGAAACCUGUGUGACAGCACCUUGAAUCCUGGCCCAUGCUGAGUGGGUGACCUCUGGGGGCCAUCCAGGUCCAGGGGUUCACCGCCAGGUACUGCAGACCAACACUCACCCCACAGCAGAGUUCCAUGAGGCGCUUUCCCUCUCAACCAUCUGAACUCACACUUCACAGUUCCUUCACGUCCAUCUGUCUCUGAUCACCUUUCCCAAAUGAAUUUCCAGCCUCCUACCUGGACAUUCCAUGGCCCAUCAGGUGAAAUAGUCAUUAUUCAAAUCUAAGUUGUGCGCCCUGCUCUCAACUCAGGGAGAAAGAAGCAAACUAUGGGAACUGAGGGUCUGGUGGGAAGUCAGGGAUGAGACAAGUAACUAUUGGGACUAGAUAAUGAUGAGAACAAGAAACUACAACAGGGAGAUGUGACAGAGACUGAGGGGUUGGGGACAAUAAGGGGUGAUUUGGAAGGCAUUUCUGGGGGCCAGUGCUUGAUUUCAGAUCUGAAUGCCUAGGAGAAGCCAGCCAUAUAAUGACCAGGAAAGAGCAUCUAAGGAAGACGGGGGUAGCAGGUGCAACAGCCCCAAGGCAAAAGAGGGCUUGUUGUAUGGGAGGAAAAGGGAGAGGGCCUAGGUAGAGAAAUAGAGGGUACGAUGUCGAUACCAUCCACAGGGUACUUGUGGGCCAUGGUGAGACUUUCAAGUUUAAGUGUAAUUGGAAGAUUUUGCCACUUGCCUUCUAAGCAGAAGAGUGGCAAAUUCUGACUGAUUUCUUAAGUUGGUCACAUUGGGUGGUGAAGGGAACUGCAGGGGACAAGAAUGGAGGCAAGGAUUCUGGACAGGGCUGUUGAGUCAUGUCUCUGAGGAGAAAUGAUGAUGGCUUGGAGUGAGUGGUGACCGUGGAGUCCAGCAGUGACUGGAAAUGGGAUAGAUAUUGCAAGAAGAGAGGAGAGAGCUGGAUGACAGAUUGUGAGAGAGACAGAGAGGUCAAGAUGACAUCAAAGUUCUAAGACCUGGUUUGGACCAUGUACUGGUGAGGAAGCCUGGCAGGUCUGCCUUGAGUGGUGAUUGGAAUUGGUGGGAUGCUAAUCAGGCAAUGGUAGCUUAGCAAAGAAAUCAGGGCUGCAGGUGUACAUCUGGGAAUCAUGGGUUUAGAGAUGGCGUUUAGCCAUGCAGGGGUAUUGGCGGGCUGGGCCUUGGGCUUUGGAUUACUUAGAUGUUGGGAAGGGGAGAGAGGGACAAAGCAGUUGGCUAAGAAAGAGUGGGCAGCAAGGUUGGAGGGAAAUCAGGAGAAUGCGCUGUGAAGGCAUUUCAGGAAAGAGGGGGUGAUCUACUCUAUCAACGUGGCUGACAGGUUAGAUUACAUGAAGACCCGUCCCUACUUAACAAUAUGGAGGGAGAAUUUUUGCUAGCUGUUCAAAAUGCAGCUCAGACUGAGACAGUCCAAGAGGGAAUUGGAAGACAGGCCACUGGCUACCCAACAUGGAAGAAGAAAACAAAGGAAUGGAGAAGAGCUCGAGUGUGGGGGGUCUGGGACCCCAAGACGCCUUCCUCUCCCCUCUUCCUUGUCUCCUUCCUUCCUUCCAAGGUGGAGAUAUUACUGCAUGCUGGUGUGCCAGGGGCCACCCUCCAGAAGAAAGGAACAAAUCUGAAGCCAUAGGAAGGAAGGGAGGGUUCUUGAGGACACUGGGUGCAGUGAAACAGAUUUUAGGCAGAGCAAUCUCACAGUCUCCCCAGCUUCGCACUGACCAACGCUAUUGUGCAUACAGAAUUACUGUGACCUAAGUGACUGAGGCUGUAACUAGAGUUAUCUAACCAACCAUGAAACCUGGAGAGAGAGAGCUGUGAUCCCAUCCAGCAACUGUAAAGCACCCUGUAAAUAAUCCAUGAGCCUAGAGACUGGCAGGGCAAAAAUAAUUGUCAAACAUGACCUCUCCGGUGUCUACACCACUUCCAAGCGGUCUUUGCACCAUCCUGCUCUUCUGUAGCCACAGUCAGUAGUUUCCAGGAAAGCGGGGGCUCAGGUGGAUGCCGAGCAGCCCAGGACACCGGAAACCAACACUCCUGGGACAAGGGAAGGUGGAGAAAAGGGCAUGGAUUUUAAAAGAAAAAUGUUUUUGUGAAGAAAAAUGUUUUAAUAAUCAAUUGGUUAUCUAGAUUAAACAAGUUAGCCAAAUAGUUAAGUGUUCAAUUUUCAAAUUUUAGAUUGCUUUUAAAGAAAAGAGUUGUUUUCUAGUGAGAGUGCAAUGAUAAUAUGUAAUUUUUGAGGACUUUUUGCCCUGUCACAAGAAUCUUGUGACAUCACAUUUGCUCCUCAUAGCAGUAUAUUUACUAUAUCACCUCCAUUGUUUUGGAGGGGGGAACUGAGGCUCAGAGAUAGGAAAUGACUUUCCCUAGGUCACAGAACUCAGAAAUGAUAGAACUAGGAUCCAGACUCCGCAAGUCUGGUUCCAAUGUCUGCCUCUAACCACUAGGUUAUGAUUUUGGGUUGUCUGCUCCAUGGAGGACCCGUUCAAGAAUGAAUGGAACCACCAACAUGAAACUUGUGCCCAAUUUUCUCCUUUUAAUUAUGC